CUGCAAGGAUGAGAAUCCUGAACUCUCUCUUUCUGAUGCUGAAGUGAAGAAUCUCUUAAAGUUCUGAGUGGC